CGUUAACCGCCACAAGGCAGAUCGGGAAUUCCUCCGUGGCGCCAUGAUGUUUACCACACUCCAGCGGUCAGUGCUGCGGUAGCAGCGAAGCGAGAAGAAACCAUUGAAUGGAGACUUACCAGUUUUAUGGACAUGGUAAAAUGUCAUCUUCUGAUGACAGUGACGGGGAUAAAAGCUAUGAACCGUCACCAGAUGAAAUGGAAUCAAGUUAUGAAUCUGAUGUAAGCAGAACAAUUGACUCAGAUGAUGAUACAGCAAGUAUUUCAUCAAAUGAUGCUACCAUGAAUGAACAGCCUGCUGCUUCUCAUGAUGCUGCAUGGCGAAACAUCACUGCAAGCACACGAAAAUUUGUAUGCACAGCAAGAGAGCAGAUACAUUACACUUUACCAUCAUCAUCUGACAGAGAUAUUCAGCCCAUUGAUGUUUACAAGCUUUUUUGUACUGAUGAGGUUAUUCAUUUGAUAGUUAGGGAAACUAAUAGGUUCUUUGAACAAACUGUUGCUGAAAAGCCUAUUACACGGCUCUCUAAGAUGAAUGCAUGGAAACCAGUAACCUCCAGGGAUAUUGAGCAGUUUCUCGCAAUUCUUAUAAAAAAAAAAUAGUUUUCAUUUUAUGGAAAAAAAAUAAACAUUUCCUAUGUAUUAAUAUCUUUCAAUGCUAUAUUUUUGAAGAAAUUGAUCAAUAAACUAUCACUUAAAAUAUUUGUGUUUGCAUUUUGUCUGUUGUAUUGUUAGAAAUACUGAUUGAAAAGGAAGGAAAAAAAAACUCAUUUAUGUACCACCGGUGGUACAUGUGGCGGUUACAGAAGGUAUGAAAUGUACCAUCGGUGGUACAUAUGGCGGUAAACGUGUUAA